UGACAACUUUUCAGACUCCCUUGUAAGAGAU
rnacentral:piRNA from 1 species